CUUUUUCUAAAAUUUCACAACUAGGUAUAGCUGAACCUCAGCCACCUUAAUUGUGUGUUGCAAGUCGUAGAGUUUUUUUUAGUUGAUUCAUAAAACAUGUCGGGUCAUGUCCUCUCAGAGUUUGUGGCUUUGUCAAGUAAGUAAGAUAGUUUUGAAAACUGCAUUAGUUCCCUGGACCACCAGCUUACUGUUUUUUGUUAUUAGAAUUCCAAAGUUGUCUGAUUUAUUUUGAGGAAGUUAUUUUAAGUUCCAUAGAAACUAUGUAUGUAUUUACAUGUUGUUUAAAAAUCCUGUAUUCAUCAUGUUCUAUUUUUGAGACAGUCUCAUUCUUUCAUCAGGCUGGAGAGGAGUGGCAUGAUCUUAGCUCACUGCAAUCUCCACCAUCUGGGUUCAAGCAAUUCUCCUGCCUCAGCCUCCCGAGUAGCUGGGAUUACAGGUGUAUGCCACCACGCCAGCUAAUUUUUGUAUUUUUAGAAAAGAUUCACAAUGUUGGCCAGGAUGGUCUCGAUCUCUUGACCUCGUGAUCUGCCUGCCUCGGUCUCCCAAAGUGCUGGGAUUACAGGCGUGAGCCACUGCACCCAGCCUAAUCAUCAUGUUCUUUAAGAAGACCUGGUCUGGGCAUGGUGGCUCACAUCUGUAAUCCCAGCACUUUGGGAGGCUGAUGCGGUCAGUCACCUGAGGUCAGGAGUUCAAGACCAGCCUGACCAACAUGAUGAAACCCCAUGUCUACUAAGAAUACAAAACAUUUUUAAAAAAUACAAAAAAAUCAGCUGGGCAUGGUGACAGGCGCCUGUAAUCCCAGCUACUCGAGAGGCUGAGGCAGGAGAAUCACUUGUUCCCGGGAGACAGAGGUUGUAUGAGCCAAGAUUGCGCUAGUCUAGACAAGAGUGAAACUUCAUCUCAAAAAAAAAAAAAAAAAAAAAAAAAGACCUGUCUAGUUCUCCUCAUCAAUAUAAUGUGUGAAAAAUGGUGCCAAAAAAUACUGGUAAUACAAAGAGAUAUAUAAAGUAGGCUCCCUGCUUUUAAAGACUAUGCCACAGAAUUAGGGAAGGUAAGACUAUUACACUUUAAAGAAGAUAAUUAAGACUAUAAAGAAUAUAAAGUAGUACAUGGUGGGUAUCAAUCUGACAUGAGAGAAUCAGACUCUCUUGGCUCAUGUUUUAGCUCGCCACUGGCUAACUCUGUGACCUUGGACAAGUUACCUAACCUCUCUGCUUCCAUUCUUUAUUUUUAAUUUGAAUAAUAAUAAAUCCUAUUGCAUUGGGUUUGAAGGCUAAAUGAGUUAGUAUAUAUAAUGUCCUUAGAACAUGACCAAGCCCAUAGUAAAUACCUGUAAAGUUAUUAGCACCUUUUUUUUUUUUUUAAGAGAUGGGAUCUCGCUAUGUUGCCCAGGCUGGAGGGCAGUGGCUUUUCACAGGCAUGAUCCCACUACGGAUCAGCAUGGGAGUUUUGACCUCCGUUUCCGACCUGGAGCGGUUCAUCCCUCCUUAGGCAACCUGGUGGUCCCUGGCUCCUGAGAGGUCACUAUAUUGAUGCUGAACUUAGUGCGGAUACCCAAUUGGCAUAGCUCACUACAGCCCAGAACUCCUGGACUCAAGCAGUCCUCCCAGCUCAGCUUCCUGAGUAGCUGGGACUGUAGGUACGUGCCACUGCACUCAGUCAUUAGCACUUGUCUCCUUUUUGUUAUUAUUGUUAAAAUAUUUCACAGUUGAGUCUGCAUUUUUCUUCACUUGGGAAUAGUUAUGAAUUUCAUGUUGGCAGAUGAAAAAGGAGGUAAAUCUGCUGUGUCAUCAUUUAAUAAUCCAAUGUAGUUACUUUUCUUUGGAGUUCAUAUAUCUCUUAGAAAUAUCUUAAUUCUAUAGGACUCCCAAAGACUGAGGCUAGUUCUUUCUUUUGUGUUUCUUAAGCCAUAUGAAUUACUCUAACAUGGCAUAUUAGUAAUGUUCAGCUUUUCUUUUUUUUUUUCCAAGAUGGAGUAUCCCUCUGUUGCCCAGGCUGGAGUACAGUGGCAUAAUCUCAGGUUACUACAACCUCCACCUCCCAGGUUCAAGUGAUUCUUCUGCCUCAGCCUCCCAAGUAGCUGGGAUUACAGGUGCCUGCAACCAUGUCAGCUACUUUUUGUAUUGUUAGUAGAGACAGGGUUUCACCGUGUUGGCCAGGCUGUCUCAAACUCCUCACCUCAGGUGAUCUGCCUGCCUCAGUCUCCCAAAGUGCCUGGAUUAUGAGUGUGAGCCACUGCACCUGGCCAGUGUUCAGCUUUUCUUUAUUGUCCGCUGAAAGCUCAUUAUUGUGACAUAAUCAAUUAUGUUCAAAGUGAUUUCAGCAAAGGGAGGUGAGUUGACGAUCCUGUGACCUAUUUUUAACCACAGUGCAUCGCUUCAUUCUGUUUUCUUUCCCCCUUUGGCACUAUUCAUCCAGCACUCCUAUAACUUCACUGGCAUAUUAUAUCCUGGGGACAACAUAUUCACUGUUUUCCCUUAGGUCAUUUCAGCUUUUCGUCCAAUGGUGCUUAGAGACUAAUCCUUUGAAUACUUGGUUCUAAUCCUAUCUGUCAAUUAGCUUCAUAGCAAUCCAGCAGUUUGUAGCAUCUUUCUGGGCCUUAGCUUUUGCUUUAUUAAUUGAAAGGAUGAGCCUUCCAACUUUACAUUUUACAAUUCUAGAAGAUGAGCAGAAAAAUAACUUCUGACCUGGUUUACAGAGGUUUGCCCAUGUGCUAUGUUAGAUCUUGGAGAGUUUCUCCUGGGCUCCCUGUGAACUGCUCCACUGGUGCACAAGAAGCCAAAGGGGCAAAGCUCAGGACAGUGUCUCCCUGGCGAGGGCAAUUACAUUGGCAUAAGUUGUCUAGUAUAACUUGUCAUGCAGACCCCUUUUCAAGAUAGCAGAUUCCUUCACUGAUAAUGUGGCAGUGUUCCCCUUCAUCAAUGGAAGACAUGGAAUGUGCUCUAAGGGGAAUUUAUAGCACUUGACAUGUGUAUGAAGGAAAUGCUGCUAUUAAUUGAUAGCAGCAUUUCCUUCAUUACAAUGCUGCUAACAAGAGGAAAAUAUGUGUCUGGUAGUUCCAGGGCAUAGGGCAGGGUAAAGGUUGAGGAGGAAGCUUGGAUAGCUUCACACAGGACAGGCAGGAGAAGGCUCUGGCAGAGGCCUGGCCCCCUUAUAUAGAAGCUGGAAUGAGUCCUUGCUCCUCAGCGGCUGGAACUUAGGAAGUAAAGAAAGUCACUAUGGAGUAAAAGUUAUGCUACACUUAAGGAGGUAAAGAGGUAUGCUAUACUGCUUUAAAGGUAGAGUAUCUACAUAAUUUUUUGGAAUUAUUUUGCUUGAGAAAGGCCCAUUUUUUUUGUAGAAAUGGGGUCUUGCUAUGUUGUUCAGACUGGACUCAAACUCCUGGGCUCAAAGGAUCUUCCUGCCUCUGCCUCCCAAGUAGCUGGGAUUGCAAACACACACCGCUGCACCAGCGUAAAUUCUUUAAUACCCCCUUCGUUUGUUUGGUCUCUCCAAAGAUCUGUUUUGGAUUGUCUCUAGGACCCCCAUUGGAGAAUGUAAGCUCAAUUUCUCCAUCCUAAUUCUGUCUAAAAUAUCUGAUCUAUAUGGAUGUCUGGGAGAUAAUUUCAUUUUAUAAUUAGAAAAGGCAUGAAAUACAUUUGUCUGAUUGAGGUGACCUAUGACUAAGACUCAUUUACACUAGAGUCCUCUGUCAGCAGGUACAAAUGACUAAUAAAUUCCUUUCCAAUUUUGGAAAUGGAGAAGAAGUUAGAGUAGGAAAGGAAUUUGAAAAAGCACUGGGCUCAGAUAAUCAAAUAACAAGUUAAUAUUUAUUAUGCACUGGGUGCUGAAACAAUUCCAGUUGUUUUCAGUGUAUUUUUCUCAUUUAGUACUGGUACCAAUCCUGUGAAGUAGGUGUGACUGUUUCCUUCUUUUUUUUGUUGUUUUUAACCAUUUGUUUCUUUGAGAUGGAGUCUCCCUCUGUCACCCACGUUGGAGUGCAGUGGUGAGAUCUCGGCUCACUGCAACCUCUGACUCCCAGGUUCAAGUGAUUCUCCUGCUUCAGUCUCCCGAGUAGCUGGGACUACAGGCAUGUGCCACCAUGCCCAGCUAAUUUUUUGUGUUUUGAUUAGAGACGGGGUUUCACUGCGUUAGCAAGGAUGGUCUCGAUCUCCUGAUCUCGUGAUCUGCCUGCCUCAGCCUGCCAAAGUGCUGGGAUUACAGGUGUGAGCCACCACACACGGCAUUUUUUUUUUUUUGAGACAGAGUCUUUCUCUGUUGACCAGGCUGAAGUACAUUGGCAUGAUCAUGGCUCACUGCAACCUCUGCCUCACAGGUUCCAGCAAUUUUCCUGCCUCAGCCUCCUGAAUAGCUGGAAUUACAGGUGCACACCACCAUGCCUGGCUAUUUUUUGUGUUUUUGGUAGAGACAAGAUUUCACCAUGUUGGCUAGGCUGGCCUUGACCUCCUGACCUCAGGUGAUCCGCCCACUUCAGCCUUCCAAACUGCUGGGAUUAGUCAUGAGCCACUGCGCCGGCCCUGUUUUCUUCAUUUAGCAGAUGAGGAACCUGAGGCCUAGAAAGGGUAAAUAGUUUCCUCAAGGUCACACAGCAAGUGAGUGACAGAAUAGGAUUCUGUGGCAUAUACUCCUGUUUGCCUCUUUUCCCUCAUUUCCUUCUUUUUUGGUCAAUGGAACCCCUGUAUUUCUGGAUGUGGCAGGGUAUCCACCUAUGAAGCUGCUACUUCCAGCCUGUUAAUGAGAUACAAGUAAAAGUUGUUGAGUGGCAUUGCCAGGAAAGCUCUUUAAAGGGGGUUCCUGUAACUGCACAGAAUACCCUUUUCCUCUUACCACUUUCCUCCCAUGUCCUACCAGGAACAAGGCUGUGUAGCUCACAGUAGUCAUCCUGGGCCAUGAGGCUACUUUGAGGUUGAAGCCAAGCACUAAGAAUGGUGGAGCAGAAAAACAGAUGGCCCUGCAGUUCCUACUGAUAAUAGAGUCACCAUAUGAGUUUUGAUUGCCUGCCUGCCUCCUCCUUUAUUUGGAAAGAAGGAACAAGAAAUUCUAGCUUCUUUAAGUCCGGGUUAUCGUAGGCUUCAACUGGCAGCUGACGGCAAUUCCUAACUGAUAGAUUGUAACUUGAUCUUGUUGUUUCCCUCCUCUUACCACCAAGUUGUAAUACACUUUGUUAUAAUGAAGUUAUCCUAAGAUCCCUAGAUUUUUGUUGCUAUUUUGUACUUUACUGUAGUAUGACCUUGGACACAUCGGUAAGGUUUUAUGAGGCCCCGCUCCACCAUUUUUUUACAUCUUUGGAAUGGGACUUAUUCAUGCGCUAACUACUCUGAAGGCUCAUUAUGGAGGACAUGCUUGUAAACUUCAAGUGUUCAUGUGUGAUGUGUAGUUUUUGAAGGUGGUUGUGGCCAUCCUUGGGCAAGCUGAAGGGUACCAAAAAGGAAGCUUUUAGAAUAUGAAUAUAGUUUUCUAGUUUUGUCAUUUUGCCUAGUGCCAACUUAAUUCAGAAUAAAUAAAUAGAAGCUGUGAAGGGAGGUGAUGCUGUCCCUGCUCUGAUGCAUUUGAGUACAUUAACAAUUGCAUUGCUGAUGAGCCUUAGAAUGCAUGCCAGGGCUGCUGUGCAGGACUGAGAGUUCAUUUGUUUUCAAUAUGGCUGCCUUCAUUAUACUGGAGCUUUGUUUCCAGAAGAUACAUUAAUCAAGGAAUCAUUAUACUGGAUGAUAGUUAACCGAUUUUUCUCUGAGAGCUGGCCAAGAACAAAGGGCUCAGAAGAAAAUGUUUGCACAAGAUGUGGAGAAUUAGUUAUUCUGGCAAUAAAUGUCAGCAUUUCCAAAUAGUUCUUUGAAACUAGUGUAGAGGUGUUCACAUAACACUCAAAGGCCCCCAGCAUAGGGCCACCCAUGUAAAUGAUCCUGUCUUAUCUUGCCACCACACCCUUUGUUUCUUCAUUUCUUCACAACGACUCCCCUCGACAUACACACUAGCUCAGUGGAGACUACUGGAGCUAUCUGGAGAUUACAAGGUAGAUUCAUUUCUUAGUUAAAGUGUAACUAUUCCCAGUGGAGGGUGGGUCUGGAAGUGGGGUUCAUUUGGAAUAAGGAAUGCUAUUGCAAGUUUUAAAAUGUGCACAGCCUGGGCAACAAAGCAAGACCCCAUCUUUAUAAAAAAAAAAUAAAUUAGCUGGGCCCAGUGGUGUGUGCCUAUAGUCCCAUCUACUCCGAAGGCUGAGGCAGGAAGACUGCUUGAGCCCAGGUGUUUGAAGCUGCUGUGAGUCAUGAUUGCGCCACUGCACACCAGCCUGGGUGACAGAGCAAGACCUUAUCUCUAAAAUAAAAUGCGCAAACUUGUAUUUGAAUAUUACUCUUAAUUAGAUGCUUAAUAAUGUGACGACAUGCCUUUAUAUCACAAGUAAUAUUUUAUCUCCCACCUUGUUCCAUUCCUGUUUCUCCUCCAUAGAGAGUUUCAUGAGGUAUUCAAUUUUGUAACAUGGCUUGGUAUUUCUUACCUCUCUGUAGCAAUGGGAACUCUAAAGAGUGCUUCUCAGACUUUGUCUACAUAUCACCUGAGAUCUUGUUCAAAUGCAGAUAUGAUAUAAUAGAUUUUGGGUAGAUUCCUGUGGAUCAGCCUCCCAAGUAGGUGGGAUUACAGGCGCUUGCCACCACACUCAGCUAAUUUUUGUAUUUUUUAAAUAGAGACAGGGUUCCUCCAUGUUGGCCAGGCUGAUCUCAAACUCCUGCUCUCAUGUGAUCUGUCCGCCUGUGCCUCCCAAAGUGCUGGGAUUAGAGAUGCGAGCCACUGCACCGGGCUGACUCUGCAUUUCUAACAAGGUCCCAGGGAUGCUGCUGCUGGUGGUCUCUGGGCCACAUUUUGAGUUACAAGGCCCUCAGUUGUCUCUUCUGUAGGGCCAGGCUUCUCAUGUCUUGGCAGGACAUCAGAAUCAACUUCAAAGCUUUAAAAAAGACGUGCUCGUGACCCCACCCUCAGAUUUCCAGAUUCAUUACUUCUGGAAUAGUUGCUGAGGAACUGGAAUUUUAAAGUUGUAAGUAAGGUGAGAAUCACUAGCUUAGUAUCUUAUUUAAAAAUAUGAUGUUGAUUGAUUUCAGUGUGAUUUCUUAUAAUUUGAACUGUUAGGUUUUUCCAUCUUAAGUAAUUCAUGUUGUGAUAACUUUUAUUCAAACAGAAUAAAUAGAAUCCACCAUGCAUUUUUCAUUUCCCCCCUUUUUCAGCUUUGUUGAGGUAUAAUUAACAAAUGACAGUUGAAUAUAUUCAAGAUGUACAAAAUGAUUACCACAAUCAAGCUAAUUAAAAUAUCCCUCACCUCACAUAGCUAUCUUUUUUUUUGUUUCUUACUGUGAGGAUACUUAAAUUCUACUCUUAAAGCAAGUUUCAAAUAUAACACAUUAUUAUUAAUUAUAGUCACCAUGCUACUAUAUACUUGGCCCCCAGAACUUAUUCAUUUUAUGACUAAACGUUUAUACCUUUGAACAACACCUCCCCAUUUCCCGUACCCUCACAACUCCUGGUAACCAUCCUUCUACUCUCUGGUUCUUUUCUCUUUCCUUCUUUUUUUUGAGACAGCGUCUGGCUCUGUAGUGGCACAUUUCCUUCUUUUUUUUGAGACAGCGUCUGGCUCUGUAGUGGCGCAGUCUCUGUUCACUGCAACCUCUGCCCCCCGGGUUCAAGUGAUUCUCCUGCCACCGCCUUCCGAAUAGCUGGGACUACAGGUGCAUGCCACCACGUCCAGCUAAUUUUUGUAUUUUUAGUAGAGAUGGGGUUUCACCAUGUUGGCCAGGAUGAUCUCGAUCUCUUAGCCUCGUGAUCUACCUGCCUCAGCCUCCCAAAGUGCUGGGAUUACAGGCAUGAGCCACCAUAACUGGCCUCUCUGAUUCUUUUUUUUUUUUUUUUUUUUUUUUGAGACAGGGUCUCACUCUGUUGCCCAGGCUGUAAUGCAGUGGUGCAAUCAUGGCUCACUGAUGACUUGACCUCCCAGGCUCAAAUGAUCUUCCCACCUCAGCCUCCUGAGUAACUAGGACUACAGGGACAUGCCCUGCUAAUUUUUUAUUUAAAAAAAAUUUUUGUAGAGCUAGGGUCUUGCUAUUUUGCCCAGACCGGCCUCGAACUCCUGGUCUCAAGUGAUCCUCCAUUUUGGCCUCCCAAAGUGUUGUGAUUACAGGCAUGAGCCACUGUCUCCAGCCUAUUCUCUGCUUUUAUGAGUUUGAUGUUUUUAGAUUCCACAUAUAAGUGAGACCAUGCAGUAUUGGUCUUUCUGUGUCUGGCUUAUUUCACUUACCAUAAUGUCUUCCAGGUUCAUCCAUGUUGUCACAAGUGGCAGGAUUUCCUUCUUUUUUUCCUCUAAACAGAUUCUUGCUCUGUCACCCAGGCUGGAGUGCUAUGGCACUAUCAUGGUUCACUGCAGCCUUGACUUUCUGGCUCAAGUGAUCCUCCCAUCUCAGCAUCUCAAGAAGCUGGGACUACAGGCUCUUACUACCAUGCCAAGCUAAUUAUUGUUAUAAUAAUUAUUUUGUAGAGAUGUAGUCUCACUGUGUUGCCCCGGCUGGAUUUUCUUCUUUUUAAAGGCUGAAUAGAAUUCCAAUGUGUGUAUAUACAAAUACAUAUAUAUAUAUAUAUAUACUAAUUUAUAUACAUAUUUAUAUAUAUAUGUAUACACACACACACACACACACAUACCACAUUUUGUUUAUCCAUUCAUUUGUCAUCAGACACUUAGGUUGUUUACAUAUCCUGGCUAAUGUGAAUAAGGCUACAGUGAACAUGGGAGUGCAGAUAUCUCUCUGAGAUAGUGAUUUAUUGGUCAGGUGACGUGGCUCAUGCCUAUAAUCCCAGCACAUUGGGAGACUGAGAUGGGUGGAUCAUUUGAGAUCAGGAGUUUGUGACCAGCUUGGUCAACAUGGCAAAACCCUGCCUAUACUAAAAAUACAAAAAUUAGCCAGGUGUUACGGUGUAGUCCCAGCUACUCAGCAGGCCAAGGCACAAGAAUCACUUGAACCCAGGAGAUGGAGGUUGCAGUGAGCUGAGAUACCACCACUGACUCCUGCCUGGACAACAGAGUGAGAGUCUCAAAAAAAAAAGAGAGAGAGAGAGAUUUAUUUCCUUUGGAUGUAAACCCAGAAGUGGCAUUGCUGGAUAGUAGUUCUAUUUUUAAUUUUUUUGAGGAACCUCCAUACCGUUUUCCAUAUGGCUAUACCAGUGCACAUGUAAGAGUUUCCUUUUCUUCACAUCCUUGCCAACACGUAUGUUUUGACUCUUUUUUGGUGCAACAGAGCCUUGCUGUGUUGCCCAUGCUAGAGUGUAGUGGCAUAAUAUUAGCUCACUGCAGCCUUAAACUACUGGGCUCAAGCAAUCCUCUUGCUUCCGUCUCCUGAGUAGCUGGGACUACAGGUGUGCACCACCACACCAGGUUAAUAUUUUUUUUUUUUUUGUAAAGACAGGGUUUUGCUAUGUUGACUAUGCUGGUCUUGAACUCCUGGCCCCAAGUUAUCCUCCUGCCUCAGCCUCCCAAAGUGCUGGGAUUACAGGCAUGAGCCACUGUGCCCAGCUGACUUUCUUUUUGAGACAGGGUCUUCUCUGUCACCCAGGCUGGAGUGCAGCAGUGUCAUCUCUGCUCACUAUAGCCUUGACCUCCUGGGCUCAAGAAAUCUUAGCUGGGUGUGGUAGUCUUAGCUACCUCCCAGGUAGCUGGGACUACAGGUGUGUGCCACCACACCCAGCUAAUUUUUAAAUAUUUUGUAGAGAUUGAGUCUCAAUGUGUUGCCCAGGCUGGCCUAGAACUUCUAGGCUCAAGUGGAUCCUCCUACCUCAGCCUCCCAAAGUGCUGGGAUUACAGGAGUGAGCCAUCAUGCCCAGCUUCUGGCUGACUUUUUGAUAAUAGCCAUCCUAACAGGUGUGAGAUGAUAUCUAAUUGUGGUUCUGAUUUAUAUUUCCCUGAUGGUUAGUAAUGUUAAGUACCUUUUCGUAUACCCAUUGGGCAUUUGUAUAUCUCCUUUGAAAAAACCAUCUAUGCAGGUCCUUUGUCUAUUUUAAAAUCUGUUUUGUUGUUGUUGUUGUUUAUUGUUGUUUUGCUAUUGAAUAGUAUGAGUUCCUUAUAUAUUUUGGAUAUUAACCCCUUAUCAGAUAUAUGGUGUGCAAAUAUUUUCUCCCAUUCCAUGGGUUUUCUUUUAUUUUUUUUUGCUUUGCAGAAACUUUUUAGUUCCACCAUGAAUUUUAUACAGGGAUUUUAGUCAACUCCUCUAUUAUUUUAUAGUCUAAGUAGGCUCCACGUAAAGAAUGGUGUAGUGAGUUAUCAUUGAAGUAACUGGAAAACACUGUAUGUGUUCGUUGUUCUUUCAGCUUGCAAGAAACAGGCAUGUUCACCUUAGCUGAUGUAGGCUUAUUGGAAGGAUAUACACGGAGUUGAAAGACAUGGGAAAUAUGGCUGAGGCCAGUAACUCACACCUGUUAUUGCAGCACUUUGGGAGGCUGAGGCAGGUGAAUCACUUGAGGUCAGGAGUUUGAGACCAGCCUGGCCAACAUGGUGAAAACCCGUCUCUACUAAAAAUACAAAAAUUAGCCAGGCAUGGUGAUAUGCACCUGUGAUCCCAGCUACUUGGGAGGCUGAAGCAUGAGAAUUGAUUGAACCCAGGAAGUGGAGGCUGCAGUGGGCCCAGAUUGCACCACUGCAUUCUAGCCUGGGUGGGUAACAGAGCAAGACUGUUUAAAAAAAAAUAAAAGAAAAAAGAAAGAUGCAGGAACUUCUCAGUUUCAGAAGGUAUUUGAAAAUGAGAGUAAUGAAAAAACUGACAGCAAAUAGCUACUCUGGAGAACAUUUUUUAAUAAGUUGAGAUGACUCUGUUGUUCCUUAUGGUUAGUGACACUACAGUUUAGUGAUAUCUGCUUCCAUGGCUUCUAAGGUACUGAAUAAUUGACUGUCUUUUGUUUUUCUCACAGUCAGCCUCCCCAAGAAAGAGGUUCUAAGUAGGCUGGUCAGCCACAAUUCUGCACAGGAUGGCCGUUUGUGGCAGGGUUCUUAUGCCCAUUUACCUUUGUGGUCUAUGCCAAACCUAUAUAGAGCUGCCUUUUCAGACCCAUUCUAGGUCACUUUGCUGGGGCAAGAUGGUGGAGUUUUGUGGUACCCACGUGCUCACCUACAUAUUAGAAAUGCCUGCAAUUGCUUCUGUCUGAUGGGUCCUAGUGCCUGUGGGGGGGUACCUUGAGGUUUUUCAGAAUGGAAAGAGGGUAGAGUUGUUAGGCUCCAGGAAUAACCUGACCACUCUGACUUUCAGCAAUGUGAGCUUCCUGAGGGAAGAGGCUUACUUUGUUCAUAUCCCUUAUAACUCAGAACAGUGCCUGGCACAUGUGCUCAGUACAUAGUUGUCAAAUAGGACAGGCUUGAGUUUUUUAAAUGGUUUAGGCCAGGCACGGUGGCUCACACCUGUAAUUCCAGCACUUUAAGAGGCUAAGGUGGGCAGAUUGCUUGAGGUCAGGAGCUCAAGACCAGCCUGGCCAACAUGGUGAAUCCCCAUCUCUACUAAAAAUACAAAAAUUAGCUGGGUAUGGUGGCACAUGCCUAUAAUCCCAGCUACUUGGGAGGCUGAACAGGAGAAUCACUUGAACCCGGGAGGUGAAAGUUGCAGUGAGAUUGUGCCAUUUCACUUCAGCCUGGGCAACAAGAGUGAAACUCUGCCUCAAAAAAAAAAAAAGGUUUAAUGUAGUCUUUAUUUUUAGUUCGAUUACAUUUAAUUCUAACUGGAACUCUUACAUAUACAAGGUUGAAGGCACAUCUCUUCUCUGCUCAUGGCUUACCCUGUGGAGGGGAAACCAUGUAUGCUAAUAUUAAAACUUCAUGUUUUCCUAUUUCUUUCUUAAUUCUAAGCACUUUCGAUGUUUGAUAUUUGGAGUCAAUACAGCCGACCCAGGCUUUGGGCUGCUACAGAGUUCAUGGAUGUCGUCUAGUGCCCAGAGGCCUUCCCAACUGUCCUCAGAGACAGCAAAAGGGGCCCCACAGGGUCUUGAACUCCUGAACACCAUACCUUUCCUCAGACCACAUGGGCACACACCUGCUGGACGGAUCUAGUGCCAGGAACUCUGGGAAGGCAGAGCCUCUGGGUUGGCGCCCUGAGCGGCUUGUCGGGCUUGUGUGAGCUCCGCCAUCUUGAAUCCUGAUUAAAUUGAAUUUUGAAGCUUAAAUGUCGAUUUGGAUAUUUAGCCAAAGAAAGCUCAUUUUCAGAUAUGGAGGGAGACCCUAAAAAGAUAGAAGUUGUCAUUAGGUGUGAUUGCAGCAGCUGCUGCUUUUUUAAAAAAGCCCCGGACCCUGAAAAUUGUAAAUAAUGAUGCAGUAAGGUGGAUGACAAAGAUGUUUGAGAAAGAAUCUACUGGGUUAGUGACACAGGAUGCAGGGCCUCAACAUGAGGGACAAGCCCAGUGUUGCUAACAUUUCGUGACUUGGAAAAAGGUGGUUGCCGUUUGACAGCCUUUUUAGGAAAAAGACAAUGACACUGAACAUUUAGUAUUAAACCUUAAUUACAGCGCGUCUGCUUUUAGUGUUAAAUUUAAUGAUGAAUACUUCUGUAGCAUUUAGAACAAACCUUUCAAUAGCUCUUUGAGCACAUGGGUUUUGCAAACCUUGUAGAAUGUAAUUUGGUAUUGCUCACCUCAUAGGUUUCCAAUUAAUGUUUAAUGAAGUUAAUGAAGAAUUGGGGUUUUAAUUCCAAUAUUCUAUUUCUCUCCUCUGCUUUAGUUGAGUCCCUAGCUUUCUUCUCCUUCCCUAACUUGUUUCUGCUCACCUUUUCUUUCUUUUUUUUUUGUUUUUGUUUUUGUUUUUGAGAUGGAGUCUCGUACUGUCACCCAGGCUGGAGUGCAGUGACACACGAUCUCGGCUCACUGCAACCUCCGCCUCCCAGAUACAAGAGACUCUCCUGCCUCAGCCUCCCGAGUAGCUGGGAUUGCAGGCACCCACUGCCACACCUGACUAAUUUUUUGUAUUUUUAGUAGAGAUGGGGAGUCACUAUGUUGGCCAGGCUGGUCUCUAACUCCUGACCUCAUGAUCCACCUGCCUCAGCCUCCCAAAGUGCUGGGAUUAACAGGCGGGAGCCACUGCGCCUGGCCCCAGUCCCUAGCUUUCUUACUCCUGUGGUAGACAUUUUUUAAAAGUACCAACUUUUCAGCAUGUCUGAACAAAAUAUUUAUCAAUCAUUUAUUUAGUACUAAAUAUACAUCAGGAACUCAUGUAAUCCUCCUAACAAACCUGGAAGGCAGAUUCUUUUGUUAUCCUGUUCUUAAAAUGAGAAAAAUGAGGUAAAGAGCUGGGAUUUGAAUCCCUGUAGUCUUUUCUUCUUUAAUUUUUAAAUUUACAUACAGUAAAAUUGGCUGCUUUUUGGUGAACAGUUCUGUGAAUUUUAUUACACAUGUAGUUUCUUGUGGCAACUACCAUAGUCGCUAUACAGAAGAACAGUUCCAUCACCUGGAAAUUCCCUGUGCUGCCCUUUGUUGCCAGACCUUCUCUACAUGCCCUUCUACUGGCAAGCAACUAUCUGCUCUCUGUCGCUACAAUAUUGCCUUUUCAGCUGGGUGCGGUGGCUCAUGCCUGUAAUCUCAGCACUUUGGGAGGCCGAGGCGGGAGGAUCAUGAGGUCAAGAAAUUGAGACCAUCCUGGCCAACAUGGUGAAACCCCAUCUCUACUAAAAAUACAAAAAUUAGCUGGGCAUGGCGGUGCCCCAGCUACUCGGGAGGCUGAGGCAGGAGAAUUGCUUGAACUCGAGGUGGAGGUUGCAGUGAGCUGAGAUCAAGCCACUGCACUCCAGCCUGGUGCCUAGUGACCUAGUGAGACUCUUAAAAAAAAAAUGCCUUUUCUAGAAUAUUAAAUAGAUGAAUUCAUAAACCUCUGAGACUGGUUUCUUUUACUCAGAAGAAUGCCUUGGACAUUCAUUCAUUUUGUUACUAUAUCAAUAGUGGGAUCUAUUUUACUGCUGAGUCUAUUGUGGGAAUGUACCAGUUUGUUUAUGCAUUUACCUGAUGAAGGAUAUUUAGAUAGUUUUCAGUGUUUGGUGAUUAUGAAUAAGCUGCUAUAAACAUUUGUGUACAGGUUUGCUGGGUCAUAUGGUAAAUAUAUAUUUAAUUAUAUAAUAAAUUUCCAAACUGUUUCCCAGAGUGGCUCUCUUGUUAUGCAUUAUCACCAGCAAUGUAUGAGAAUUCUCAUUGCUCUUUAUUCUCACCAGCACUUGAUGCUGCUAGAUUUUUCUACUUUUUGUUUAUUUGUUUAUAGCCAUUUUAAUAGAGGUAUAGUGAUAUUUCAUUGCGAUUUUAAUUUGCAUUUUCCUUUUGGCUAAUGAUAUUAAGCAUCUUUUCAUAUAGUUAAUUGCCAUUCCAUAUGUCAUCUUUGGGGAAGAAUGGUCAAGUCUUCACACAUUUAAAAAUUGGCUUGUUUUUGUAUUGUUGUUUGGGGAUCUCUUUAUAUAUUCUACAUUCAAAUCUUUUGUUGGAUAUGUGAUUUGAAAAUAUUUUCUCUUAGUCUGUAGCUUAUCUUUUUAUUUUAUUUAACAGAAUCUUUAGCUCUUUGAACAUAUUUGAAAUAGCUAAUUUAAAGUCUUUGUUUAGUAAAUCCAGUGUCUGGGCUUCCUCAGAAAGAACAGUUUGUGUUGAUUACUUUUUUUUUCUGUGUAUGGGCCAUAUUUCUUAUUUAUUUGCAUACCUUGCAUUUACCAGUUGAAAACUGAACAUUUUGAAUAUUAUAAUGUAACAGCUCUGGAAACCAGAUUCUUCUCCCUCCCCUGGGUUUGUUAUUGCUGCUUGUUAUGUUUGUUGUUUGUUUAGUGACUUCUCUGAACUAAUUUUGUAAAGUUUAUAUUCUUUGCCAUGCAUGACACUGAAGUUUCAGUUUAAUUAACUUAGUGGUCAGCUAGUGAUUGGGCAGAUUCUUUUUUUGUUUUUCUUUUUGUUUUUAAUGCCUACAACCAAAAAGAACCUCCCAGCUUAUGCAGAUGGGCCCUGUUGUGUUUUACACACCUUCAAUAGCCCAGCAGUUUACAACUCUGCUUAGCCUUUACUUCUUUGUGCACAUUCUGAAGUUCAGCCAGAGGUGGCAGCUUAGGGCCUUCGCAGGUCUUUUCUGAGCAUGUUCCUACCCUGGUAAGGCAGCUGGACUUCUAGAUUCCCAGGAAUAUGUGGGAGCUAUUUGAAGCCCAUAUUCCUCAAAGUAUCUUAUUCCCUAGCCUAUCCUCCCAACCUUUUUGGUUAGUUUGGUUGCCCAAACUGUUAUCCUCGUGCAGCAGCAACUAAUAUAUUUAUUUGCUUUUCAAUAUUCUCAGCAAGUGCCUUCUAACUAGCCACUUUAGGUAAGUUCCAAAUUAGGUAAGAUAAAAGAAAGUCUUUUCCAGGGAGUCACCAGGCAGGUCAAGACAAAUUAUUAUAGUUCUUUUUGAAUAAGGUUCAUUUUGCUUCUUCUGGUCCUUAUUGGUACCAGGAAUGCAGGCUAACAUUUUCAAGGUUCCCACUGAGCUGGGGAAGGAAGGAAGGGACCAGGGUAAGUUAAAAUGCCACAAAGCUUGAUAUUCUAACCAAAAUCCAGCUAGUUUUUCUAGAUUCAGUGUUUCACUAGUUGCUACAAGCUUUUGGUUAGCUUCUAGAGUUCUGAAAAGUUGAUUCUGCCGGUUUCUAUCAGGUUUUUAUUGCUUUUAUGGAGGGAUAGACUUUUGGAGUUCUUAACUCUGCCAUUUUUGCUGAUGUCACUCAGAUAUAUCAAAUAUGGCUUAAAAAAUUGAUUAAGAUAAUCAGAUUGGGGUUGGGUAGUAUGGACCUCUAGUCCCAGCUACUUAGGAUGCUGACGUGGGAAGAUUGUUUGAGCCCAGGAGUUUGAAUCCAGCCUGGGCAACAGAGUGAGACCCUAUCUCUUUAAAAAAAAAAAAAAGGCUGGGCACAGUGGCUCACACCUGGAAUCUCAGCACUUUGGGAGGCCGAGGCAGGGGGAUCGCUUGAGCCCAGGAGUUUGAGACCAACCCAGGCAACGUGUUAAGACCCCCAUCUCUACAAAAAAUAGAAAAAAUUAUUCAGGCAUGGUGGUGAGCACCUGUAAUCUCAGCUGCUUUGGAGGCUGAAGUGGGAGGAUCACUUAAACCGAGGAAGUCAAGGCUGCAGUGAGCCAUGCUCUCCAGCCCAGGCGACAGAAUGAAACCCUGUUUUAAAAAUAAAUUUAAAAAGAUUAUCAGUGUUAUGAGUAAGCCAGCCCAAGUUUAAAAAAAGAGAGAGAGAGAGAAGAUAGGGAUACUCUUAACUCAUUUUUGAAGUUUUUCUGCAUUCUACAAUAGCAUUAUUGAGGUAUUUUUAUAAAGAGGAGCCUCAUUGAGCUGGUUACAGUGCUGGGCUCAAACCCCUUGUUCAGAUCCUGAAUGGGCAACUUGCUUUUCUCAAUUCCAGGCCAUAUACCACCCCAAACCCCUUCGUUACUUUUCAAAACAUGAUAUCCAAGGGAUAUCUGCCCAGGGGAACUCCAUAUUUCUCUUGUUGUUAGAGCGGCUCAGAGGAAGUAGCUUUACUGCGCUAUUCUGAACAAGUCAGUCAUGUUAAAAAAUAAUGUAUGGCUAACACUCUGGGGAGUAGAAUCAAGGAGGGCUUGGAGUGUGUUACUUUAUACUUCUGUAUUGUUUCAGUUACUUACAAUGAAUAUUACUUUUGAAAUUAAAGAAAUAUAAAUUUAAAAUGCUGUGAGAAAUAAUUGCCUGCUGAUCCAGUAUAUUUGUUGCUUAUAUUCUAGAAUUUUUAAAAACCUAUUUUUCCCUGAAAUGAAUUACUAUAGUGAUCAUAGCAAAUGUUGUCCUGAUAAUAAAAGAAAUGAUUGAUAAACUAUUCAAGAAAUGGUAGUAGAAAGGAGUAUAUAAUUGUAUUUCCUCUGAAGAUUAUUUUUCAAAACACUGGCUAAUUUGUCAUUUGUUUACCUGUUUGUCUCAUGACAUUUACUUCUUUUCAUGAAAGCUAUGAUCACUCAAAAAGCAAAUCCUCAUUUAUAACCAGAAUGUUGAAAGCUGUUUAACAUAAUCAAAACCUAUAUUUAGCAUUCCCUGCUUUAUUUAUUGUAUUUCAUCUCCAUCUUGUGACCCAAAAGAACCUAUUCUAGAGGAGUAGAUCCAGAAGACAUGCAUUCUAAUGCUCAACCUCCCACUAGCCUGCCGUAUGACCUUGAUUUAAUUUCUUAGAUUCUUCAUUGACAAUAUGAAACAUUUAGACCCAGGACCCAGGCUCACUGACUGUUUUUGUGAAUUAGCUUUUAUUGUCUAUAGCUGCUUUAGUCCUACAUCUGCAGAGUUGAGUCAUUGCAACAAAGUCCAUGUGUUCUGCAAGCCUAUAAUACUUACUGCCUAACUCUUUACAGAAAAAGUUUGCUAACUUCUACCAAGUUUGUUUUCAGGUUCAAAAUUCUUUGUUCUCGUUUUGGAAUAGUUGGGCCAACUGUUUUUUUCGUCAGGUUUCUUCUUAGCAAAUCACCAGAAAUAUUUGACUUGAAGAAGGGAAACACCAAUAAGUCAUACAUUCUUUUUAGACACCAGUACCUGUCAUAUUUUGUUGUUAAUGCUGUGAUUACAACUUCUAGAGCUCAGUAUCUUAUAACAGUUAAUAUUCAGCUGGUGACAUGUUAGCUUAGCCUCACCAGUGGUGCUCAUUCUGGGAUCCUGGCUGAAGGAGCAAUCCCUAUCUGGGAAAAAGAACAAAUGGACAAAGCAUGUACCAGUGUUUAUAACUUUGCUCAGAAGUGGCAUGUAUCACUUCUACUCACAUUUCUUUGGUUAACCUGACAUUAAUGGUGUGGGAGAAAUAUCAUCCUUCUGCAGGAGGUCCUGCAAGUUACAUUGUACCUUGAGUGGCUGGGUAAUCUUUUUACACAGAGGGCAGUGAAUUGUCAAGAACAACAAAGUCAUCUAUCACAGAGUUUGAGCAGACCAAAACUCAUGGCAAAAAACUUGGUUUUGAACCUCUUUGUGUGUUAUUCUUUAUAAACUCCUUGCAAAUAAUAGUCACUAGAAAUUGACCCAGUGAGCUUUUGGAAUAUAUUGUAGUUCUCUCAACUUGCUUAUUUAAUGCUCAGUGAAAGAAUGUAAUGUGCCUUUAGGUUUCUUUUUUGUGGAGUCUUGAUGUCUUUAACUUAUUGUAUUGAUCCAUUCUCACACUGUUAAAAAAGAAAUACCUGAAAUUGGGUAAUUUAUUUUAAAAAGAGGUUUAAUUGGCUAAUGAUUCUGCAGGCUGUAUAGGAAGCAUGGCUGGGGAGACCUCAGGGAGGUUUCAAUCAUGGCAGAAGGUGAAUGGGAAGCAGGUACAUCUUCACAUAGCCAGAGCAGGAGGAGGAGAGAGAGCAGGGAGGUAUCACACACUUUUAAAACAAGCAGAUCUCUAUCACGAGAACUCUAUCAUGAGAACAGCACCGAUGGGGGAUGGUGUGAAACCAUGAGAAGCCACUCCCGUGAUCCAGUCACCUCCCAACAGGCCCCACUUCCAAAUUGAGGAUUACAAUUUGACAUGAGAUUUGGGUGGGGACACAGAUCCAAACAUAUCACUUACAUUUCUUACUCUAAACCGUUUGUCCGCCAAGAUUUCGUAUCUCAUUAAAUGACAGACACCACUCAAGUUGCCCAAGCCAGAAAGCUGGGUGAAGUACUUAACUUCACUUACCAGAUUCUAUUACAUAAUCAAUAUAUAAUCAAUUAUAUAUAUAUAUAAAAUCAAUUACCAGAUUCUGUUAAAUCUAUCUCCGAUGUAGGUCUUGAUUCUGUCUACUUGUCUCCAUCUUCAUUGCCACUCUCCUGUUCCAGGUACCUUCUGGUCAUUUGCAACAUCCUUGGAACUGGCCAUUCUGUGUCCUGACUUGUUUCUCUAAUCCAUUCUCUGUACAACCACCAAAGUGAUUUUUAUAAAAUGCAAACUGAUCAUGUUAUUUCCCUGAAUUAAAACAUUUCAGCAGUUUGUACUAAUGUAUUCUCCCCUAAAAGCUCAAAUUUCUUAACAUCGCUGUAUACCUUUUUAAAAAAUAAGAUGGAAUUUGUGUGUCACCUUUGCCAUGCUACUCUUGGUAUCGUUCUGACUUUAGUAUGUGUGUUGCUUAUGUGAGCACAUGGACAUACUACCUUUUGUUCCCUUUAUUUAUUUAUUUAUUUUGUAUUCCCAGUUCUGUCCUGUUACACUCAGCUUACAUGGCUUUAAAAAUAUAAUCUUCUAGAAAUUUUUUCCUAGAGAAUAUUUUAUGAACUCAGUAUUUGCUAAAUGUUUUUCAUUUGUAGAGAGUCAAACACUUGAUUAAAAAAAAAUUGUGCAAAACUGAUGUGUAUAGUAUCGCACAGAGUCCAAUGCAGAAUGCUCCCAUACUGCUGCUCUAUAGGUUGUUCCUUCUCAGAAUGGCUUAUCAUUGGGCUCUAAAGAAAGCUAGGUUGGGGCACUGUUUACAGUAGCAAAGACCUGGAACCAACCCAAAUGUCCAUCAACGAUAGACUGGAUGAAGAAAAUGUGGCACAUAUACACCAUGGAAUACUAUGCAGCCAUAAAAAACAAUGAGUUCAUGUCCUUCAUAGGGACAUGCAUGAAUCUGGAAACUAUCUUUCUCAGCAAACUGACACAAGAACAGAAAACCAAACACUGCAUGUUAUCACUCAUAGGCAGGUGUUGAACAAUUAGAACAUGUGGACACAGGGAGGAGAGCAUCACACACUGCGGUAAGUUGAGGGGGGCUAGGAGAGGGACAGCGGGGGAUGGGGAGGGUGGGGAGGGAUAACGAGGGGAGAAAUACCAAAUAUAGGUGAUGGGGGGAUGAAGGCAGCAAACCACCUUACCAUGUAUGUACCCAUGCAACAAUCAUGCAUGAUUUGCACAUGUACCCCAGAACCUAAAGUGCAAUUAAAAAAAAAGCUAGAUUAACAUUGAUUUUAUUUUACUUUCUCGGCAACCUGUUUUUAGAAGUUUAAAAUAGGCCUAUUUUGGAACUAGUUGUUUAUAGGACCUCUUUAAAUGGGUUAACAUAUUUUUCCUUGUAUGACACUAACUCAGCAGCCUCUGAUAAACGGAAUGUGAAACACAAGUGCAUUUUUUUCCUUGUUUGCGGUACUGUCUCCUUCAGGUCUUUCAUAUUAACCUUCUGUUUCGGAAAUAAAAAUAGCUCCAUUGAACUCAUAAGGGAAUAGGAGAUUUCUUCAAAAUCCAAAUACUUGGCUUUGAAGAUACUACAGUGAUUUUAAUUUUUUUUUUUGUUUUUUUUUUUUUGAGAUGGAGUCUCGCUCUGAUGCCCAGCCUGGAGUGCAGUGGCAUGAUCUUGGCUCACUGCAACCUCCGCCUCCCAGGCUCAAGUGAUUCUCCUGCCUCAACCUCUUGAGUAGCUGGGACUACAGUUGCAUGCCACAUGCCUGGCUAAUUUUUUGUAUUUUUAGUAGAGACAGGAUUUCAUCAUGUUAGCCAGGAUGGUCUCGAUCUCCUGAUUUGUGAUCUGCCCGCCUCAGCCUCCCAAAGUGCUGGGAUUACAGGGGUGAGCCACCAUCCCCAGAUGAUUUUAAUUUUUUAUGUCUAAUAUGUUUUCAUUAUUUAAAAUGUAUUGGUAUAGAUUUUUCUUUUUAUCUAGCCUAGUAAUAUGGAAUUUUUAAUAAACUUAAUCAACUCUGAACUCUGAAACUUUGCAGUUGCUGCAACCACAGCUUUCUGUUAUCAUAAACUGAUUUUUAAAAGCAAGAUUUUAAACAUUUAAAGAGAAAUCAGUGGCAUUAUUGACCAUGACCAAAUCCUUAAGUAUAAGGAGAAAGGGUAGAGGGUGAUGGUGAGGAACACUACAGUUAUGUGGGGGAUUUGAACUUUUUAUGUAAGGUAUUUCUGUCACAUUUUGUUUUUUGUUUUAAUAAAUAGAUAUGGAAAAGGGGGUUUUAAGUUUUUUUGUUUUUUUUUUUAGUGAAAAGAUCUUUGAUUUUUUCCUCCAUAGGGAGGCAGCAAUCUUAUUGGGGUUAAAACAGGCUGCUUUGUGAUUAUUUAUAAUGUUCUGGGAGUUCUGUGAAUAUAGGGAAUUCUUGAACAUCUUCAAAUAACAUGAAAAAAGUAUCAUAAAUGUGGAUGAGUGCUUUCUUGGAUGCAGUGUUAAGGUGAUAUUGAGAGGAGAGUCCAUGAUUCCAACAGGUUCUUCUGCUUUUAUUUCUCUAGUCCUGCCCUCUCUUCUGAACUCUAGACUGCCUACCUAUCAUCUCUACUUGGAUAUCUGAUAGGCCUCUUAAAUCUAAAAUGUGUGUGUUUAGUUUCCUAUUGCUGUUAUAGCAAAUUAGCUACAAAUAUAGUGGCUUACAACAACACGAACCCUGUAAUUCUGGAGGUCUAAAGUCUGAAGUCAGUUUCACUGAGCUAAAUUCAAGGUACUGUCAGGGCUGCAUUCCAUCUGUAGACUGUAGGGGGAAUCCUGUUUUUGCCUUUUCUAGCUCCUAGAUGCCAGCUGCAUUCCCUGCCUCAUGGCCUCUUGCUCUAUCUUCAAAGCCAACAUUGUAGAAUCUUCAUUUCUCUCUUCUUUCUGCUUCCAUCCUUCUGUCUUCUGCAUACCCUCAUUAGUAUCGCUGACCCUGAUCCUCCUAUCUUACUCUUAUGAGAAGCCAUGUGAUUGAUUACAUUGGUCCCACCCAGAUAAUACAGAUAAUGUCCCCAUCUCAGGAUACUUAAUCAUAUGUGCAAAAUCCUCCUUACUGUGUGUAGUAACAUAUAAACAGAUUCUGGAGAUUAGGAUAUGCACAUCCUUAGAUGGUAGGCUAAACAACUGCCUACCAUUUGAUUUCUUAGCUUGGCAAACCUAUUCUUCCUGUAGCCUUCCUCAUUUUAUUUAAUGAUACAGCAUUCUCAGACCGGUAACCUUUGGUCAUUCUUGAUUUUUCUUUUGUCUUUAUUUUUUCCUUCUACCAUCCACAUCCAAAUCAUUAAAUCACAUCCAAACCCAAUCCAUAUGUUAACUUGCUUCUACUACCCUACUUUCUCUAGAUUUGUUUUCUUCUCACUAAUUUUCACUAAAAGCAGAAUACCAUUAGUAUUCUGGAGCCAUAGGCCCUCAUCCUAUCCUAUUCUUUUUACUCCUUGGUGUUCAGAGUUAAUUAUAGUACAAGGCUAUGUGGGUUAAGUGUCAUAGAAUGGCAUAGAAAGUGCCACAGGACUAGAUUCCAAUGACUUUAUCCAACUACAUGGAGAUGGAAAGUGAAGGCUUACAUCGCAAUAGACAGUAGAGAGAAUUUAGGUUGGUUGAGGAUAAUUAUCCUGGAAGGCAAAUAGAAUUUCCAUGAAAGAUUUCUGUCUUGGCCAGGCACAGUGGCUCACACCUGUAAUCACAGCACUUUGGGAGGUUGAGGCAAGCGGAUCACAAGGUCAGGAGUUUGAGACCAGCCUGACCAACAGGAUGAAACCCCAUCUCUACUAAAAAUACAAAAAUUAUCCGGGCAUGGUGGUGGGCUCCUGUAAUCCCAUUUACUCUGGAGGCUGAGGCAGGAGAAUCAGUUGUACCUGGGAGGUGGAGGUUACAGUGCAGUGAGCUGAAACCACACAAUUGCACUUCAGCCUGAGUGACAAAGUGAAACUCUGUCUCAAAAAAAAAAAGAACGAGAUAUCUAUCUUUUUUAUUCUUUGGACAGUGAAUGUUUAUUCUCAAUUAUUAACAGCAGAGAAUAAAUUAAUCUGAUUUCUGAUUAUUUUGAAUGACUCCUCCCCUUCCUCCCUUUCCUGAAGCAGUAUGUUUUCAAAAGUUCUCAGGGAGCUGAUUUCUAGUGUGUGGAUAAACUAUACACAGUCAGUUGGGCGGGGAGAAUGAAGUCAAGCAUCUGAAAAGAUAAAAUAUUCACUGUUGAAAUGAUAUCAUAAUAUAGCUUCUACAUUUUAUUAUUCUGAAUCCUUUUGCUGUAAUGGCCUCACAUUUUUGGGGUAACAUUACAGUUUAGUGUAAUAUAAGGGUUAUUACAUGAACUAAUCUAUUGUGAAAAGGUCUGAAAAUAACUAAAUUUACACAUUUUCCCUAUGUUUAGGGAAAAAAUUGCUCAUAGGAUUUUUAGCAACCUUUAUUUGUUAAAAUCUCACAUUAAUUAAAACUCCGCAAGAUGCAUGAAAUGAAAAUUGAAGCAUAUUAAAAUCAGACAUUCCACAGAAUAAAAUAUUCUGCAAAUUUAUGUUUAUUUUUAAGGCAGAAAUGCUAUGUUGAGCCCCACAAAAGUAAGAGUGUCAAGAUGUCCCUGUUAUUUCCUCCUCAUUUGUUCAGUUGUGGUAUUGCUGAUUAAAUUAGUUACCAGUAAGUACUUAAUAAUUUUGUUUUGCAAAUGCAAAUGUUUAUUGUGUGUUUGUUUAUUUAUUUAUUUUCUGCAGGGGACAUGCUCUGAGUGUGCACUGGUUGGCCCCCUGCCAAUCCCCAGUGGCCCCCUCCCCCACGCAAAUGUUUAUUGAUUUUUUUUCCCCUUUAGUAAUGUGUUACCAGGUGCUGUAUGUCAUGUUUGGGGUUGAACUUUUCAUUUUAUUUCUUAGCAAUUGAAACAGAAAAUGUAUAUAGGUAGUUUGAGCCUUUCUUUGAAAUCGAAUCACGGAAAUUGUUGAGAUCUCUGAAGAUCCCUAAACAUAUUACAAAUAAGGAAUUGUUUGUAUACUUUAAGCAAGAGAGAAACUCCCUGUUCAUGUUUUUAACAUAGCCUUAAUGAGUUAUAAUUCACAUACCAUCCAGUUCCCUAUUUCCUGUUAAUUUAUAAAAAUUCUCUUUUUCCCUGUUAAUUUUAAAAACCAUUUUCUAGGGUCUUUUAAAUGUGUUUUUUAGAUAUUCACUGCCUCCUUUUCUAAUCAGUGGCAGAAAUAAGUGGGUUGAGGUAUCAAAAGAUAGGUAUUUAGGUAUAGAGGACACAGGAAAUAAGGCCUUGAGGUUGGAAAUGGGAUAAAGGAAUGAGAACACUUGUCUGGAUAAGAAGAAAACAAACAAGAAGUGAGUUAGUUGUCUUGGUGAUGAAUUCUGAAGUUGAUGGUAAGAAACGAGCUGUGUCUUUCUCAAGUCACUUGGUAAAUGGGGCCUUACUCUAAGGACAGUACAGAUAAAGAAUAGGGGAAGAUGAUAAAUAAGACAGCACAUAGCCUCAUGUGGAAUCUCACUGAUGUUCAGGAUAUAGCAGUCCUUGUUUUACUUCACUCUACUUAAGUGCCUUGGUGUCUGAUUCUUUCUCUCUGCUUUUUGUUCUGACUCUGCUACCAUCUGACUGCCCUCUUUGCUAUCCUGGCCCCCUCUUGGCCUCUGCAUAUUCCCAUGAGCAGUGGUGUGGGAUUCUCUUCUCUUCUUUCACUCCCUUGCUCUCACUUCACCAAUGGCUUCUCAUGUCACUGAGAAUUAAAUUCAGAGUCUUUACUGAGGCCUGGUAGCUUCUGCAAGACCUGGCCUCUGCUCCCUUUCUUUCUGGUCUCAGUUCAUACCCCUUUCCACCUUUGCCCACAGUGUGCCAGCCACACUGACCUGCCUGUUCUUCCUCACAGCCACCUAACCUCAGAACCUUUGUACUCACUCUUCACUCCACAGAACCUUCCCAGGUAUGUUCUUGCUUUCCUCCUUUGUUUAGGCCUCUAUCAAAUAUCACCUCCUCAGAGACCCUUUCCUGACCACCUUAUCUAAGGUGGAAUUUCCCAUACUGAUACUCUUAUCUGCUGCUUCUAUUUUAUUAUCAGGGUUUCUUGUACGUGACAUUAUUAUAAUAUGAAUUUCUUUCGCAUUUGGUUAUUGUCUGUGUUCCUAACUGCAGUGUAAACUACUUGAAGCCCAGCUUGAUGUGUUAUAUUUACUGUAAUGUCCUCCUUGCCUAGAAUGGUACCUGGUACAUGAUGGGCACUUAAUACUAUUGAAUGCACGUAGGCAUAAUAUAUGACUCACAUUUGGACUUCUCCAGAGGAGGGUCUGUUUUGCCGUCCAAUAUUGAGGGCAUCUGUUGGGUAAGAUGCAGGGCUAACUGCCCUACCGACCUCUUGGCAACUGUUAUGUUAGGUGCCUACCCUGGUGCAUCCACCCAGUAGUAAUCAAGAUAGUGAGAUCAUAUGUCCUAUUCUCUUGAUAUUCCUUUCUUUCCACUUGCAUGGACUGGUCCCUCCAAAACCUUUAAGUUUCAACUUCUGGUUGACAAGAAAAAUGUUGCCAGAUCCCAUGCUGUGGAACAGUUGCUUCCAGUUUCAAACUAAACAUUGAGAGGAAUGACAGGAAGUAGUAUUUUGGCUUUCUUGAUCUUUGUGUCCCCUUGCUGUGUCAUCCUGGCCCACACACUCAUGUACUUUCUCUUUGUUCCUCUCUGGUUCUUGAUUAUAGUAUCUUUUCUCUUUGCAGUCCAUCUUUGCCCCUCCUUUCUUUCUCUCUUGUUCUCCCCUGUACGCCACCAUUUUGCUUUGCCCUCUGCAUCAUUCCAGCCUGUUUAGCUUGAGUUCUUGCCUCUGAGAAAUCUUUCAACUUACCAACUUUAGUUUUUCUGUUCUUUGUUCCUUAUGGCUGGAGAGGCCUGAGGAAGAGAAUUGCAUUGGAAUAUUCUUUUUAUCCUUCAUCCUUUUAUUUAACUGAUAUUUGAAAACUUACUUAUGUGUGAAACAUUGUAUCAGAUUCUGGGCUACCUCCAUAAAUAAUACCCAGGUUCUCACAGUAUAGUUAAGGAGACAAAUAAGCUGAAUGGCUAUUUAUUAUUCAUUCACUUUUUUUUUAAAUGAAGUCUCACUCUGUCACCCAGACUGGAGUGCAGUGACAUUGUGCUGGCUCACUGCAGCCUCUGUCUCCUGGGUUCAAGCAAUUCUCCUGCCUCAGCCUCCCAAGUAACUAGGAUUACAGGUGCCCACUACCAUGCCCAGCUAAUUUUUUAAUAUUCUUGGUAGAGACAGGGUUUCACCAUGUUGGCCAGACUGGUCUUGAACUCCUGACCUCAGGUGAUCCACCUGCCUCGGCCUCCCAAAGUGCUGGGAUUACAGGCAUGAGCCACCGUGUCUGGCCUAUUUUUUUCAACAAAUAUUUAUUGACACUAAGAUACAGUGGUGGAUAAAAACAAAAAUUCUUACAUGGACUUACAGUUUGAUAAGAUAUACAUUAAUUGAUGAUACAUAAAUAAAUGUUCAAUUAUAGCUAUGUUGAGUUCUAUAAAGGAGGGCUCCAUAGUGCUAAGAGAAUUAGGAGGCUCUGUCCUGGUUAGGAGAGACAGGGAUAGCUUCCUUGAGGAAGUGAAGGGUAAAUUGAGAUCUGAAGGCACAGUUAGAAUUGACUAGACAAGGGCAGCAGGAGAGAGGGAAUAGCAGAUGCAAAAGUCUGGUGCUGAAAGGGUGCUUAGAGUGUUCGAAGAAGUUUAAGGAUAGAGAAUAGGCUGGAAAAGUUAGCCAAAUGAGCCUGAAGAGACAGGCUGGGGUUCGAUUGGCUGGGCUUUGUAGGCCACAGUAAGGGAUUUGGUCCUUAUUCUGUGAGCAACAGGAGGAUGCCUUUGAAGUGCUAUAAGCAGGGGGAAAAGGAAAAAGAUAUAAAAAAUAUUUUUAUUUUUAAAAUACUAAUCUGAAUGCUAUGGAGAAUAAAUGGAAUUGGAUGUAAAUGGAAGGCAUAAGAAAGGAUAUGGAAAUGCUAGUUAGGAGGCUGUAAUGGCAGUCCAGAUGUUACUAACCCAGGUUGGGGUAAGGGUUAGCAAGAAAUUUAAGUUUCCAAAUCUACAUUUACUUUCUAUUAAACAUAUUUCUAUUAAAUAUACUUACUUUAUUUUAUUUUAAUUUUUUUUGAGACAGAGUCUUGCUCUGUUGCCCAAGGUGGAUUGCAGUGGCAGGAUCUUUGCUCACUGCAACCUCCAACUACUGGGUUCAAGAGAUUCUCCUGCCUCAGCCUCCAGAGUAACUGGGAUUAUAGGCACCUGCCACCACACUUGGCUAAUUUUUGUAUUUUUAGUAGAGAUGGGGUUUCACUAUGUUAGUCAGGCUGGUCUCGAAUCCUGACCUCAAGUAAUCACCCUCCUUGGCGUCCAAAAGUGCUGGGAUUACAGGUGUGAGCCACUUGUAGCUUAAAGCUUAAAGUAAGCCAUAUGUACUUACUUUAAGUCAACUCUCAAAAACAAAUUUUUUUAAAUAAAAGGAUCUAUAUCUUGUCAAAGACAGAAAUGCAAUAAAACUUAAGUUCAUUCAAAUGAGAAAUAAAGGAUGACUUAAAGAAGUGUGAAUGGAAUUAUACCAGAAAAUCUAUGGUAAAGAUAAUGAUUGUAAUUGAGUUCAGAAGUUAGCUGUGAGUUUCUGGCAGCCCAGGUAUAGAAGGGAAUAGGAUAGGUCAUGUGAUUGUUUAACAAAGGAAGCACGGGAUAUAAUGUUCUUUUCUAUAAUUUCCUUUGUCCUAAAUAUUUAAAGUGUUUUAUUAUAGAUGUGAAGUUAAACCACUUAGAUAGGUCCAGAUUGUUGAAACUCAAGACCUCAGCUCUUGAGAUGAUAGCAUUAAUCCAUUGAUGGUAGUAGGUCAGACUGGUAUUUUAAAAAGUAAAAACUUGAGAAAAAUUCAGAGCUGAACUACAAAUAUGCAUUUCCUUCUUUUCUUUCCUUUUUUUUUUUUUUUUUUUUUU